UACAACUGAAAACACGUGUUUUCAUAUUGUUACCUCAUUUUGAAAACCUUCAGAUCAUAUCUGUCAUUUUAUUACGUGAUUCCGUUAAGCUCUUUUUGGUCACCUUUAAAUUGAUUGAACUUACUGUGAUGCUUAAUGGAAUCCAAGGCCAACUUUCCUGCUGAGAUCCAUGGGAUGGCAAGCUCUUCCACGAGAUGCAUAUGGAGAGUUAUGCUUUCUGCUGGGAGGUUGCCCGAAGAAAAUUUGACACGCUGAUUUUCAGCAACAAGAAUUUGUCACCAGGAAUUGACUUUCUUGCUGAUGUAUUCAGAGGUGACUGGCCAAUGCUCUUCCAAGGAUAUCAUGCUAACCUCGGCAGGUCACUUUGGGAGGAACAAGGAGCACUCCAUAGAUGUCAAUGUCAAGAUGGAGAGCUUGUCAAACAUUGAGGACUCUUUACUUCACUUCAGACAUGCUGUGUGGAAGAAACAAAAGCUCACUCACGGUAUUUUGUAUGUACAUGUACAUGGGUAUUUCUAUUUAUUCUGGCCUCGGGCGAGUAACGGGAAUUCCCUAUCCAGUUAGACAACCAGCACACGAGACAUCUGUUUCCGGUCUUGAAUUCUUAUAUUCGAUGAUAAUCUCGCAUAUGGUAAACUGUAGAUUAACAGGAUAAAAAACCAUGUGCAUAUAAUUAACAUCAGCUGAACCAAUGUGGCACAAAGGUCAAAUGUGACACUGAUAAGCAAUGCAGGAAACAAAUUGGUUUACGUAAUAUAACAUACGAAAGGAUUUAGCAAAAGAAUAAUCGACUACCAGUGUGUUAAUCAGUGAUAGGAAUGGACCAGGAAUGAAUUAAUUGAAAAAAUAGGAACAUGAGCGAGCAUACACACAACCAGUGUACAUGUAGUGCAGACAAUACGAACUAUUUCAACUUAACAUUAUCUUUACAGAAUAAGCGAACAAGGUCUCGAAAAGUGGUUAACACUAACAGUAUGAGGGCUAAAUCAACUGAAAUACAUGUGUAGCAUCGUUGGGUGGUAAAAACUUACAGAACCCUAGCCUCCGAGAGUGCAGAGCUAAGCUGCCAACAAUAGACUUAUUAAGUGAAGAUCAAAAUGUGGUGCAACCUGGGAGGCAAACGAUAAACAGACCUCUUAAGCAAACAACAAGAAAAUACAGACUCAAAAAAAAAAGUUACUAAUACAUGUACUUAAGAGCUGAGGAGUAUAUUCUAUGUCACCUCUCCUUAGCGCAGACAACAAAAUAACAUCGAAGAUGGGUAUAAAGACGAGCAAACUAAAUAGGACAGCAAGCAUUGUACAUGCUGUAUACAUAUCUAUGCGAACAUACCCAGCAACAAGAAGAUGGCAGCCCCCAAGACAUAAAAUAGAACAUAUGAAAACCGACAAAGAUGUUGAUAUAAUAGGGUCUUUACAAUAACAAUAAGACUUUUAUCGAGAACAAAACUUACAGGUGAUUUAUAUCAGAAGAAUCAAGAUUCGGAACGAAUGCUGUCAAGCAGAAAAAAAGAAGAUUAUUGAGACAAAUUCUAACGUGUUUCGUUAGUAGGAUCUUUGCGCUAAAAACCAGCACUUCCGGAGAGUAGCGAUUUAACAGUCACAACCCGAGAGCGCACUCUGCGGUCAGUACACUAUUCAUUAAGGGUUCAGUUUUUCCCUGCCUAA